rnacentral:piRNA from 1 species
AGGAAGUCAGGUUAGGAACUCAAGC